UUCAUGUUACUGUUAGCAUCUCAUGUGACUCCUGAGUCCUGUGAAGUAUUGUGCCCAGUGAUUAUUUUCAGUGCUAAAAUUUGAAGAACAAAACUCGACUGUGCGAAUGGUUUGAGAUCAUUUCUUCGACAGUACUCUUUCCAAGCCGUCAGUUCUGUAUUGUGAUUUCUUCGUCCAGCAACUUGGGUAGUACUUCAAAGUACCUGUUUUCGUUCCUCAAGAACUCGGCCAUCAUGCUACAUCCCGUUCUAUACCUUUCCAAAUCACAACUUUCGUGAAGGCUUUGAGCUCUGUGCUCUGCAUGUACCAUUCCUAUCAAUCGAUUGGAGGAAGCUGCUCGGAGAUUUUGGAUAUUCUCAUGCCGACAUUGCAGCUACCUGUGGAAUGAUGGCAGACGGCGGAAAGACUUCAGAAUCACACCCCCUUGCUAAUGCAGCACAUUGGCUGAGUGGAGGCACUGCACAUCGCCAUUCACUUGUGACAGUUGUAUUCGACACAGAGAAUCACACCCCCUUGCUAAUGCAGCACAUUGGCUGAGUGGAGGCACUGCACAUCGCCAUUCACUUGUGACAGUUGUAUUCGACACAGAGUCACAACACUGCUGGACAAUGCACUUUCGGCCGGUCCACUCCACUUCUACAUCACCACCAU